GGCCCUUGAACUCAGACUGCAAACCUGUACUCGGCACNUCGCCCGGGGCUU
rnacentral:tRNA from 1 species